rnacentral:tRNA from 1 species
UUAAUUGAAGCCAAAAAGAGGCCUGUCACUGUUAAUGACAUAAUUGAAAUUUAAUUUCCAAUUAAG